rnacentral:rRNA from 1 species
AGCAACAAAUGCCCUGCUUCCAGGAAAAGCCUCUAAGCAUCAGGUAACAUCAAAUCGUACCCCAAACCGACACAGGUGGUCAGGUAGAGAAUACCAAGGCGCUUGAGAGAACUCGGGUGAAGGAACUAGGCAAAAUGGUGCCGUAACUUCGGGAGAAGGCACGCUGACACGUAGGUGAAGUGAUUUACUCAUGGAGCUGAAGUCAGUCGAAGAUACCAGCUGGCUGCAACUGUUUAUUAAAAACACAGCACUGUGCAAACACGAAAGUGGACGUAUACGGUGUGACGCCUGCCCGGUGCCGGAAGGUUAAUUGAUGGGGUCAGCGCAAGCGAAGCUCCUGAUCGAAGCCCCGGUAAACGGCGGCCGUAACUAUAACGGUCCUAAGGUAGCGAAAUUCCUUGUCGGGUAAGUUCCGACCUGCACGAAUGGCGUAAUGAUGGCCAGGCUGUCUCCACCCGAGACUCAGUGAAAUUGAACUCGCUGUGAAGAUGCAGUGUACCCGCGGCAAGACGGAAAGACCCCGUGAACCUUUACUAUAGCUUGACACUGAACAUUGAGCCUUGAUGUGUAGGAUAGGUGGGAGGCUUUGAAGCGUGGACGCCAGUCUGCGUGGAGCCGACCUUGAAAUACCACCCUUUAAUGUUUGAUGUUCUAACGUGGACCCGUGAUCCGGGUUGCGGACAGUGUCUGGUGGGUAGUUUGACUGGGGCGGUCUCCUCCUAAAGAGUAACGGAGGAGCACGAAGGUUGGCUAAUCCUGGUCGGACAUCAGGAGGUUAGUGCAAUGGCAUAAGCCAGCUUGACUGCGAGCGUGACGGCGCGAGCAGGUGCGAAAGCAGGUCAUAGUGAUCCGGUGGUUCUGAAUGGAAGGGCCAUCGCUCAACGGAUAAAAGGUACUCCGGGGAUAACAGGCUGAUACCGCCCAAGAGUUCAUAUCGACGGCGGUGUUUGGCACCUCGAUGUCGGCUCAUCACAUCCUGGGGCUGAAGUAGGUCCCAAGGGUAUGGCUGUUCGCCAUUUAAAGUGGUACGCGAGCUGGGUUUAGAACGUCGUGAGACAGUUCGGUCCCUAUCUGCCGUGGGCGCUGGAGAACUGAGGGGGGCUGCUCCUAGUACGAGAGGACCGGAGUGGACGCAUCACUGGUGUUCGGGUUGUCAUGCCAAUGGCACUGCCCGGUAGCUAAAUGCGGAAGAGAUAAGUGCUGAAAGCAUCUAAGCACGAAACUUGCCCCGAGAUGAGUUCUCCCUGAGACUUAAAGUCUCCUGAAGGAACGUUGAAGACGACGACGUUGAUAGGCCGGGUGUGUAAGCGCAGCGAUGCGUUGAGCUAACCGGUACUAAUGAACCGUGAGGCUUAACCUUACAACGCCGAA